rnacentral:rRNA from 1 species
AGCGAACGCUGGCGGCAGGCCUAACACAUGCAAGUCGAACGAACUCUUCGGAGUUAGUGGCGGACGGGUGAGUAACACGUGGGAACGUGCCUUUAGGUUCGGAAUAACUCAGGGAAACUUGUGCUAAUACCGAAUGUGCCCUUCGGGGGAAAGAUUUAUCGCCUUUAGAGCGGCCCGCGUCUGAUUAGCUAGUUGGUGAGGUAACGGCUCACCAAGGCGACGAUCAGUAGCUGGUCUGAGAAGAUGGCCAGCCACACUGGGACUGAGACACGGCCCAGACUCCUACGGGAGGCAGCAGUGGGAAAUCUUGCGCAAUGGGCGAAAGCCUGACGCAGCCAUGCCGCGUGAAUGAUGAAGGUCUUAGGAUUGUAAAAUUCUUUCACCGGGGACGAUAAUGACGGUACCCGGAGAAGAAGCCCCGGCUAACUUCGUGCCAGCAGCCGCCGCAG